rnacentral:lncRNA from 1 species
UACCCCUGGCACCUCUUAAAACAUAAGAGCAAGCUCAAAAACAUGUAGUGAUGGAAAUAAGCUAGCUACCCUCAAUGCCACCGUCGACAGUGAGUGGACACAGUUGAUACACGCGGCUGCUGCUUAGCUAUCAAGGCCUGCGGUGGAGGAGCUCUAGCAGGAGUCCCCGUAAUGUCAAAAUGAUUAUUUUUGCAAACAGUCCCCGCUCCCCCCCCAAGAAAAACAACGUGAAAGGAAAACCCUUUCCCGGCACGCUGCUGUCAAAGACAGGGCUGAUUCAGGGUCACCCAUCAGUAGCCUUAAAGAAUUUCAGCUGCCAAAAUAUGCACAAGGUCACAUUUGGUUCUUACUGGUCUUUUUUUUGCACACGAGAACUUCACACCAUUAACAGCGGGCGGCUGUAUCUUUUUACAUUUCCUACACGAUACUCAACUUGGUGGACACAGGAGUAACAGUGCGCAGUAAGAUUUCACACUAUUAAACUUACAAAUGAUCACAAGCUCACUGAAGUGACCCUCCUUCGAGCGUGAAGAGGGACCCUCCUACGAGCGUGAAGAGGGACCCUCCCUCUCUCCUCUAACCAGCAUCUUUUUAAAAGCCGGCAUCAGCCUUGGCCAACAUUUUGUUCUUGGUGGUAAACAUGUUAAUGAACAAGCUUCAAACGAGAUCAUUUUACAACACUGCCAUGAGAACACCAAGAAUCAGUCUGUCCUGGCAAAUUCUUCCGAACGACAUCAUGGUUGUGUCACACUGAAAGCAGCUCGCUGCCUUCAGUGAUGAGAGAGGAGAAGAGGGGAGAACGAGAAGGCGGGGACAGCCAGGCCAGCACAGAGGCUGGGGGGCAGGGGAGAAAAGCGGAAGGAAUCUUUAUUGCUAUGCACCACACAUCAAAAAAAAACCCCCAAUGAACUUGUGUGUGUAAUGUUCCCUCGUGAAGGUAGUUUAAAGCAUGAAAUGCUCAGAGCUCUUUUAAAACAUAUGAUACAACUUACCAGCACUCUCAAGGGCAGGGCCUGCUCUCUCAUAUGAGCCGAUAAGAGCUUCGCAAUGCAAUUUAUUUUCUAAAUACCACUCUAUUCUUCAAAAGAACAGAAACACGAACAAGAAACAAGGCCUGGCCAGUCACUCCCACAGCACGUGGGGAUCAUAUGUCCAUGGAACCAACACAUGCGACAGAAAAACAAACCCACACGUAUG